ACUACCUAGGGGGGCAGCAGUGGGGGAUAUUGCACAAUGGGGGAAACCCUGAUGCAGCGACGCCGCGUGUGGGAAGACGGUCUUCUGGAUUGUAAACCACUGUCCCCAGGGACGAAAAUGACGGUACCUGGGGAGGAAGCUCCGGCUAACUACGUGCCAGCAGCCGCGGUAAUACGUAGGGAGCAAGCGUUGUCCGGAAUUACUGGGUGUAAAGGGAGCGUAGGCGGGGAUGCAAGUUGGGUGUCAAAACUACCGGCUCAACCGAGAGGCGCAC
rnacentral:rRNA from 1 species